rnacentral:rRNA from 1 species
AUUGAACGCUGGCGGCAGGCCUAACACAUGCAAGUCGAACGUGUCGCGGACGGGAGAGUAAUGUAUGGGAACCUGCCUGAUGGAGGGGGAUAACUACUGGAAACGUUAGCUAAUACCGCAUACCAUCAGAUUGGCCCAGAUGUGAUUGGCUGGUUGUUGGGGUAAGGGCUAACCAGGGCGACGACCCCUAGCUGGUCUGAGAGGAUGACCAGCCACACUGGAACUGAGACAGGGCCCAGACUCCUACGGGAGGAAGAAGUGGGGAAGUUUGGACAAGGGGCGCAAGCCUGACGCAGCCAUGCCGCGUGUAUGAAGAGGGUCUUCGGGUGGUAAAGUACUUUCUGCGGGGAGGCGUUACCCGCAGAGGAAGCACCGGCUAACUACGUGCCAGCAGCCGCGGUAAUUC